GCAGAGGUAGCAAAGCCUGGUUACCGCGCGGGACUGGAAAUCCCGUGGGAGCAAUCCCGCAGGGGUUCGAAUCCCCUCCUCUGCG
rnacentral:tRNA from 1 species